rnacentral:rRNA from 1 species
UACGGGGGGGGCAAGCGUUGUUCGGAAUUACUGGGCGUAAAGGGCUCGUAGGCGGCCAACUAAGUCAGACGUGAAAUCCCUCGGCUUAACCGGGGAACUGCGUCUGAUACUGGAUGGCUUGAAUCCGGGAGAGGGAUGCGGAAUUCCAGGUGUAGCGGUGAAAUGCGUAGAUAUCAGGAGGAGCACCAAUGGCGAAGGCAGCUCGCUGGGACGUGACUGACGCUGAGACGCGAAAGCGUGGGGAGCAAACAGG